rnacentral:rRNA from 1 species
AACGAACGCUGGCGGCAGGCCUAACACAUGCAAGUCGAGCGCCCUUUCGGGGGAGCGGCGGACGGGUGAGUAACGCGUGGGAAUAUGCCCUUCUCUACGGCAUAGCCUCGGGAAACUGAGAGUAAUACCGUAUACGCCCUGUGGGGGAAAGAUUUAUCGGGGAAGGAUUAGCCCGCGUUGGAUUAGGUAGUUGGUGGGGUAAUGGCCUACCAAGCCGACGAUCCAUAGCUGGUUUGAGAGGAUGAUCAGCCACACUGGGACUGAGACACGGCCCAGACUCCUACGGGAGGCAGCAGUGGGGAAUCUUAGACAAUGGGGGCAACCCUGAUCUAGCCAUGCCGCGUGAGUGAUGAAGGCCUUAGGGUUGUAAAGCUCUUUCAGCUGGGAAGAUAAUGACGGUACCAGCAGAAGAAGCCCCGGCUAACUCCGUG